rnacentral:tRNA from 1 species
GGGCCCGUAGCUUAGCCUGGUAGAGCGCCCGGCUGAUAACCGGGAGGUCGUGGGUUCAAGUCCCACCGGGCCCA